rnacentral:lncRNA from 1 species
UUCGCUUUGAGACUAUUAUUCAUAUCGUGUGAUGCAUGACUGCCCAACUAAUGUUAAAUAAUGAUACGUAACUUCCCAACCGGUGGUAACUGCCCGACCGGCCGUAGCCCGGUGGUAAUUGCAUGUGUAUGAAGAUGCAUGUAUUACUAUAUUAUAAAUAUUAACAUCUUUAUCAAAUACCUCAAUAGGGAACUACAUACAUAUUUAGACAUGCUUGAAUAUCACUUUACUGGAAUGAAUAACAUAAGCAUUCUUAACUGCUAAGAGUAGAAUCACUUAUGGAAUAACAUUACGUUUACGUAUCGUUACUUGGAUCAUGUCAAAAGAAAGAAGGGAUAGCUUUAACAUACCUGAGCCGAUUCUCUUGAGAAAGACUACACCGUACUCCCUAAAAUUUGCAAAAAUCUCACGCUAUAUUGACAAGGUGGAGUGCUUUAAGAUAUGAAAAACUCCAUCUAGCGGUUGAAAGUCUCACCGGCUAAUUGUAGAUCCUUGAUAUAAACCCAUAAUUAUGAAAUAUCCUUCUACAUCUCUUUACAUUGUUCUCAUACUUGUCAUACAGACUAUCACCACCAUGGCUCGACAAAUGAUUGAGAAAAGGUAAGGAAUCCAUAUAAUCCUCCAAAAGUAUAUGUGCAACAAAGGAAAAUAAAGUCUAACCACCAAAAGGCACUAGGAAACAACUUCCCAAGCAAGGUGGAUAUAAAUAAUAUCUUCAUUAGGAAGUGUUUGAAAUUGAUGAAGUUAGCUCACCAUGUAUUGAUUUUGUUGGGUUAUGACUAUAACUGUUAAGCUGAUUGCAACAUGGAAAGCUAAGGAGCAAAUGGUACGAGAGCAGACAAUGGUUGGUAGGCCGUGACACACUCUUACUUGCCAAAUUCUCAAAUCUUGCCACAUAUAUCAAUUAAUGCAUGAGUCACAAAUUUUGCUAAGGCAAAAUCUGCCACAUGGUGGUCUUAUCCUAGAUAUUUUAAAUAAUUAUCAAGUACCUGCAUAAUUAAGAAUUGUCUCAAAUUACUUAAAAUUUUACUUGUUUUUAAUACACUUUAUAUAACUUACUAUCAUGGUCAGGUGGUACCAUAUAAAAUAAAUACAUACAUUAUUAUUUUAUUAAAAUAUCCAUGUAAAAAAAUGCACAUAUUUUUUUAACUUUUAAUUUUCCUAAUCUUAUAUAAAGAGUAAAUUUUUAUUCUAUGCUUAAUUCUUAAAAUGGUAAAAAGAUAAUCUUCUUUGCUUGUAUGAAAAUAAUGUCUAUCUUUACAAUAAAUAAAAUCUCAUAAACUUUCUUAUAUUAAGCGUAUAAUUUAAAGCAUAUUUGAAAGUAGUAAUACUAAUAACUAUAUAAAAUCGUAUUUUUCAAACCAUUGUUUUUAAUAGAAAAAAAAAGUCCCACGCAAAAUACCAUAUCAAAUAUCCGUAUAAUGGUAUCAAGGUUGUUAAACUUACAGGGUGUAACAUCCUUCCCCCCUUUAGAACAUUCGUCCUCGAAUGUUAACUCUUAGGGAUUUACAAAAUUUUCACUAGGGCCUCCUCUAUAACUUAAACUAAACCCCAAACUAUAUCUGAAGUCGCGACUAUUCAUAACAUUUUGUACUUGAGUAUCUCGUAUCUUCUUCACCUUUACCUUACUUACUUUCAAAUUUCGCAUCAUAUCUUUUGUUUCUUUCAUACCCUCCCUUCAACAUAGGUGGAAAUUGCGCCUUAAAGUUCUACCAUAAUACCUGCACCUCUGGUGCAUACAAAAUUUGACGAAAAUUUCAUACUAACUUCUUACGGCUCAGCUCUAUGGCACAAUCUGAAAACAAAAGAAGGGUAACAUUUCCUAAAUUCACUAUAACCUCUCAAUUAUAAAUGUGGGGCGCCACACAUCCAUAAGUGAGACUCUACUAGGCACGGCUUUGUAGACUUCCUAGGACACGACCUGCUCUGAUACCACUUUGUCACGCCCCAACCUUGGGAGGCGUGGCUGGCACCCAGUGCCGCACUGGCCCGAGCGAACCACUCUGUAACUCAUUCAUUCCUUUUGUAACUAUCAUGGGCCAACAUGGCCACAACUCGUAAUGUAUAACUGUAUGUGGGCAACACUGUAUCACUGAACUAUUUUUCUUAAAUCAUGAAUACAUAUAGGCCGUCAAGGCCUCUGACAUACUGUAAAAAAAUGAACCUCUGUUUACAAAGCCUCUAAGAUCGCUUGACAUCAAAUGGGAUAGAGUACCGGCCUACCCAUAAGUCUAUAGCAAAACUCUGACAUGAGGACUCAUAGACUCGACUGCACUCCGAAUGAAAUGGAGUCUUACCGAUCCUUCACUGAAUGCCAACCUCUUCUACGAUGAGGGCUCGUCAAAUUAAUUAUCUAUACUUACAGGCAUGAAUGCAGCAUCCCCAACAAAAGAACGUUAGUACGAAUAAUGUACUGAGUAUGUAAGGCAGAACUGAAAUAUAACAAUAAGUCAACAUUAAUUAAUGACAUAUAAGAAUCAACCUGGAUCUCUGAAGCGCCACCAUAUAUUCAUACUUGCAUAUAUAAUGCUUCCCUUUGAGACUAUUAUUCAUAUCGUAUGAUGCAUGACUGCCCAACUAACGGUAAGUAAUGAUACGAAACUGUCCAACCGGUGGUAACUGCCCGACCGGUCGUAGCCCGGUGGUAAUUGCAUGUGUAUGAAGAUGCAUGUAUUACUGUAUUAUAAAUAUUAACAUCUUUAUCAAAUUCCUCAAUAGGGAACUACAUACAUAUUUAGACAUGCUUGAAUAUCACUUUACCGGAAUGAAUAACAUAGGCAUUCUUAACUGCUAAAAGUAGAAUCACUUAUGAAAUAGCAUUACGUUUACGUAUCGUUACUUGGAUCAUGCCAAAAGAAAGAAGGGAUAGCCUUAACAUAGCUGAACCGAUUCUCUUGAGAAAGACUACACCGUACUCCCUAAUAUUUGCAAAAAUCUCAUGCUAUAUUGACAAGGUGGAGUGCUUUAAGCUAUGAAAAACUCCAGCUAGCGGUUGAAAGUCUCACCAGCUAAUUGUAGAUCCUUGAUAUAAAUCCAUAAUUAUGAAAUAUCCUUCUACAUCUCUUUACAUUGUUCUCAUACUUUUCAUAUAGACUAUCACCACCAUGGCUCGACAAAUGAUUGAGAAAAGGUAAGAAAUCCAUAUAAUCCUCCAAAAGUAUAUGUGCAACAAAAGAAAAAUAAAGUCUAACCACCAAAAAGGCACUAGGAAACAACUUCCCAAGCAAGGUGGAUAUAAAUAAUAUCUACAUUAGGAAGUGCUUGAAAUUGAUGAAGUUGCUCACCAUGUAUUGAUUUUGUUGGGUUAUG